rnacentral:rRNA from 1 species
AUAGAUACCCUGGUAGUCCACGCCGUAAACGUUGGAUACUAGGUGUGGCGGUUAUACCAAUGACUGCCGUGCCGAAGCUAACGCAUUAAGUAUCCCGCCUGGGGAGUACGGCCGCAAGGCUAAAACUCAAAGGAAUUGACGGGUCCCCGCACAAGCGGCGGAGCAUACGGCUUAAUUCGAUGCAACCCGAAGAACCUUACCUGGGUUUGACAUCACGGGAAAAGCUGUAGAAAUACAGUGUCCAUUAGGGCCCGUGACAGGUGGUGCAUGGCUGUCGUCAGCUCGUGUCGUGAGAUGUUGGGUUAAGUCCCGCAACGAGCGCAACCCUUGUCCUAUGUUGCCAGCGGUUCGGCCGGGGUACUCAUAGGAGACUGCCGGGGAUAACUCGGAGGAAGGUGAGGACGACGUCAAGUCAUCAUGCCCCUUAUAUCCAGGGCUGCACGCAUGCUACAAUGGCCGGUACAACGGGCAGCGACCCCGCGAGGGUGAGCGAAUCCUAAAAAGCCGGUCCUAGUUCGGAUUGAAGUCUGCAACUCGA